ACGAGGAGACAUGUACCAUCGCUGCAUCUUUGGUCUAGCACUGCCAAGACAACUGUGAUUUGUUGAAAGAAAUGCAUACAAGCCAAAACCUUUUGCACCCUAUAUUUGCUAGACCUUUCUCCAGUGCUGUGCAGAUUUGGCUAUGCAAGGAAAUGGAAGACAUGGGAAACAUGACACUGGCCUACAACAGCACAUUUUGUGUUUCCACUUAGGAUGAUUCUCUUUCUCUACUCAAGCCGCUGCUCCCCUCGCUCUUCCCAGCAGAAUUAAGGGAAUUGAGAUGUCAUCUAUGAUGGCGGACCCAAUCAAUUUCCAAGGGUCAUCGGAGGACAGCGGAACAAAAGGGAACACAGAAUGAAAUGAGAUGCACCUUCAGUAAGAAGUAACAAGGUCCGAUGUCUUCAGGAGUCGCAGGAGCACGCAUACGCAGGAGUUGGUAUGACAGUCAGCCGAAGAGGAAGAAGAAGAAGAAGAGGAACAUCAACAAGAACACUCUUUCAUGGUUUGACUGCGUCUCCUGAUUUUUCUGUGCCCGUUCUCCAGUCCUCUCUGUGCUGCUGCCCGUGUUUUCAGUGCUUCAGUGGUAUAGCACUUUGUUUAAUUUUUGUUCUUCAUUAGUUCUGAUAUU